AGAGUUUGAUCCUGGCUCAGGAUGAACGCUAGCGGCGCGCCUUAUGCAUGCAAGUCGUACGGUUUAUCGCAAGAUAGACAGUGGCAAACGGGUGAGUAAUAGUUAGGUAACCUGCCUUUAAGUGGGGGAUAACACUUCGAAAGAAGUGCUAAUACCGCAUGUGGUGCUCUUUCAUAAGAAGGAUCACUAAAACCGCAAGGUGCUUGAAGAGGGGCCUGACUCCGAUUAGCUAGUUGGUGAGGUAACGGCCCACCAAGGCUGGGAUCGGUAGCUGGUCUGAGAGGAUGGUCAGCCACACUGGACUGAGACACGGCCCAGACUCCUACGGGAGGCAGCAGCAAGGAAUCUUGGGCAAUGGGCGAAAGCCUGACCCAGCGACGCCGCGUGAGGGAUGAAGGCCUUCGGGUUGUAAACCUCUUUUCUCAGGGAAGAAUAAUGACGGUACCUGAGGAAUAAGUCUCGGCUAACUACGUGCCAGCAGCCGCGGUAAUACGUAGGAGGCGAGCGUUAUCCGGAUUUAUUGGGCGUAAAGUGGGCGUAGGUGGUCUUUCAAGUCAGAUGUGAAAUCUCCCGGCUUAACUGGGAGGGGUCAUCUGAUACUGUUGGACUUGAGUACAGCAGGGGAAAAUGGAAUUCCCGGUGUAGUGGUGAAAUGCGUAGAUAUCGGGAGGAACACCAGAGGCGAAGGCGAUUUUCCAGGCUGAAACUGACACUGAGGCCCGAAAGCGUGGGUAGCGAACAGGAUUAGAUACCCUGGUAGUCCACGCCUUAAACUAUGGGUACUAGGUAUAGGGAGUAUCGACCCUUUCUGUGCCGAAGCUAACGCUUUAAGUACCCCGCCUGGGGAGUACGGUCGCAAGACUAAAACUCAAAGGAAUUGACGGGGGCCCGCACAAGCAGCGGAGCGUGUGGUUUAAUUCGAUCCUACACGAAGAACCUCACCAAGGCUUGACAUGUUAGAAGUAGUGAACCGAAAGGGGAACGACCUGUUAAGUCAGGAGCUAUCACAGGUGCUGCAUGGCUGUCGUCAGCUCGUGCCGUGAGGUGUAUGGUUAAGUCCUGCAACGAGCGCAACCCUUAUUGCCAGUUAUAUUCUCUGGCGAUACUGCCUCGCAAAACGGGGAGGAAGGUGGGGAUGACGUCAAGUCAGCAUGGCCUUUAUGCCUUGGGCUACACACACGCUACAAUGGACGGUACAAUGGGUUGCCACCGGGCGACCGGGCGCUAAUCCCCAAAACCGUCCUCAGUUCGGAUCGCAGGCUGAAACCCGCCUGCGUGAAGUCGGAGUUGCUAGUAAACGCGUGUCAGCAUAGCGCGUUGAAUACGUUCUCGGGCCUUGUACACACCGCCCGUCACGUCAUGAAAGCUGGUAACACCUGAAGUCGAUAGGCUAACCCGCAAGGGAGGCAGUCGCCCAAGGUGGGACUGGUAAUUGGGACGAAGUCGUAACAAGGUA
rnacentral:rRNA from 1 species